AGGAUAAACGCUGGCGGCGUGCCUAACACAUGCAAGUCGAACGCGCUUUCGGGCUUCGGUGCGAGAGCGAGUGGCGGACGGGUGAGUAACACAUGGGUACCUACCUUGGAGUGAGGGAUACCGGCGAGAAAUCGCCGACAAGACCGCAUAGGCUUCCUUCGGUAGCCCGAGGGAAGCAAAGUUACUUCGCGAGAGGUGACGCUGGAAGAGGGGCCUGUGGCCGAUUAGCUAGUUGGGGGGUAACGGCCUCCCAAGGCGACGAUCGGUAGCUGGUCUGAGAGGACGAUCAGCCACACUGGGAUUGAGAACGGCCCAGACUCCUACGGGGGCAGCAGUGAGGAAUUUUCCGCAAUGGACGAAAGUCUGACGGAGCAACGCCGCGUGCAGGAGGAAGGUUUUCGGAUCGUAAACUGCUUUUCUCGGGGACGAGCAAGGACGGUACCCGAGGAAGAAGCCCCGGCUAACUACGUGCCAGCAGCCGC
rnacentral:rRNA from 1 species